UUCCAUUUCUACUUCAUUUCGGUCGAGAGGGUUUUUUUUCGAAAAAAAAAUUUCUUUGACGAGCUUCUUUGGCGAAUCAACACUUCUAUCCUCUUCCUCUCAUUCUCCUGACCUUAGUGGCGAGGCAUCUUCCAAGGGGAAGGAAAUUGCUGACCAGUAAGCGCGUCUCGAGGCGAGACGACAGGUUCAGUGACAGCGGACGUAGGUCUGACACUGUAGUAUGGGGUUCGAUGGUCUGGCAUGAUGGAAGAUGGCGUGGUCAACCCUAAGUUUACCCUAGUCAAGAUGUGCGUGGAGCCAUUGACAGGGGGUCUUUUAUAUGAGAAACCCGGGGUCACCACACGGAAAUCUCAGUGUCCAACACCAAGGAAGGAAAUAUUGUGAAUUUUAAAAGUCUUAAAACACCUUGGUAGUCUCGUAGCUAGUCGCGGCACGAUUAGCUUGGGAAUUGUUUAAGGCCAGCAUAUAUUUUGAGCGGUUCUCAAUGUAUUGGGAAAAUGUUACUUGUACUAUUUAUGAACCAUGGGGUUAUCUGUUAACUUGUCGAAUA